CUGCUCGCUAAGCUCGCUUGUGUGCGUUAACCCCUCUCUGAUCACGGCGUGCCGCAAAAGUACGCGGAGUUUGCAUCACUGGUCUCUCUGGUCUAGAGUCUAGGGGUGCGUUCCUUUUAUCGCUCACGACACGUCAUUUAUCCUUGUUAUUCACCAAAUGUUAAAGAAGGAUACAAGAUGCAUCCAUGCGUGUGUCGUGCGCGAAAACGGAACGCACCCUAGUUUUCUUGGCGGCCACAUUUUAGCCUACCCCCUGGAUUCAAGCAGUAGUUGAGUCUUCUGGGUCUUCUGGUCCCUAGUCUUCUUGGCCUGUGCUUUCCUAUUGUAUGAUGGGCUUUACCGCAUGCUCCGUUCAGUGCUAUAUGUCGAUGAUUGCAUGUUUUGGAUUAUGGUCCUGCGUAAAAGUGUAAUUCGAAGUUGUAAUUCGUAACAAAAGACUUGCAAAGAUGCCAAAAGACAGAACGUGUCGUUCUUCGAGGCCGCGUAAACGUGUGUUUGGUGGCAAUCAGUUUAAGAAGGUUGAUGGUGCUCCGACUGGAGAAAGUACCAGCGCUAGACAAUUGGGUAUCGCGCAGUCGGAAGAAAUACCCCUUUAUCAAUCGCACUGUUACAAAAUACUAGACUUUAUCACAGUAUUUACGGCACUUUCAGACUUACUCGUGUGUAAAGAAUGCAAGCAACGCGUUUCCUUUGCACAGAGCGAUAAUCGUGGGCUCGGUUUCAAGAUUUUACUUUCGUGCCUGUGUGGUAGAAGGCAAAUUUAUUCUUCCACUUUUAUAAACAACAGUUACGAGAUCAAUCGUAGAAUCGUUUUUGUAAUGAGAUUGUUAGGUGUUAGUAGAGAAGGUAUAAAUUUAUUUUGUAGCCUUAUGGAUUUAGGGAAGGGUAUCGGUAAGAAUUCUUAUUACGUCAUCUUGCGACACAUUUAUGACGCCUCAAAAAUAGUCUUUCUUUUGCUUCGGAAGAAAGCCAUGAAAGAGGAGCAAGCGGAAAAUGAAAAGAAAGAAAGGGAUUUAAGUAAUUUAAAAGUUUCUAGUGACAGCUCCUGGCAAAAACACGGCUUUUCUUCGCUGUAUGCAGUAAGUACUCUCGUCGGAUAUUACUCUGGGAAAGUGAUUGAUCUUGUCAUAAAGGGAAGCUACUGUCAGGCUUGUAUACUUUGGAAGAGUAAAGAAGGCACUGAUGAAUAUCUGGAAUGGGCAGAAGCACACGAGAAUGAAUGCUGCAUAAAUCAUGACUGCUCUUCAGGAAAGAUGGAGGUGGAUUCCAUAAAGGAAAUGUUCGCGAGAUCUGAGGAGGAGUUUGGUGUCAAGUACGGCAACUACAUCGGAGACGGAGAUUCUAAAACUUUUAAUGGUAUACUGGAUUUGAAUCCAUAUACUGAUGAUUUUACAGUAGUUGUAAAUGAAUGUGUCGAGCACGUUGAGAAUAGAAUGAGUACGCAGCUUCGAAAUUUGAAAGAAAGAGAAAAAUUGGGUGAGAAAUUGACUGACGCCUUGAUAAAAAGGCUAACUACUUAUUAUGGAUUAGCAGUUCGUCGAAAUGUUGAUUCUGUCGAUGACAUGAAAAAGGAGAUAAUGGCAACAUAUAAACAUUUGUGCUCAACAAAUGAAAAUCCGAUGCACGAGAAUUGUCCGCCGGGCGUACAGAGCUGGUGCAAAUGGCAUGUGGCUGAAGCCACAGGAGCCACUUUUGACCACCCCGCCCCACUUCAUCCAGAUCUUCAAAAACAUUUAUUGCCUUUAUACGAAGAUUUGUCUAAGAAUGAACUUGUGCAAAGAUAUUUAGGCGGGCACACACAAAAUGUGACCGAGAGCUUUAACUCGUGUGUUUGGCGCUUGGCUCCGAAACAUUUAUAUUGUGGCAUCCAAACGGUAGAAAUAGCUGCAUACAUUGCCGCAGGAUUAUUUAAUGAAGGCUAUUUUGCUGUUUUGAAAAUUAUGGAUACACUACAACUAAAAAUUGGUUCCCACUGCAUAGAGUAUGCAGACUCUUAUGACACCGCGCGGAUACAGCGACAUGGGCGACGAGACUUCAGAAGUUCGAAAGAAGGUCGAGCUACUCGAAAAGAAAUUAAUUUGCAGGAGCAGCAGUUAUACGAGGACGAAGAAGAUCUACUAUAUGGCCCUGGGAUCAUCGAUUAGGGCAAAACAGCUACUGGUGUGCAGGAUAACUAAAAAAAUAUUUGAUCGAUUGCGUUCUUCUGGUGCUCUACAUACUCUAUGUAUAUGUAGAAAAUUACAUUUUUCAUCGGAUCUCAAAAAUUGACAUAAUUUUUAAAACUAUUACGAUCAUACGAUACUAGCCUGCACACUGUUUGACGCCUGCAACGCCGACAUCGCUGACGAGACAGCGUCAGUAUUUCUAUACAUGGUUGUUUUUUUUACAUGAAAAUUCUAUUUCAUAAUGUACUGCUGCCGAAGCAUUUUAAACGUUCCGCUGACGACUGUCUGUCGCUUCAGAAUAUCAGAUACAUUUGGCAGUAUCCAUCAAAUUAAAAAUAUUGGAUUUAAUCAUUUUGUAUCGGAUAUAGCAGGUUACAUAAUUUCGAAUUUUACUAUGACAACAUAGCGAGAGCUGUUUACGAAGACGUGGAAAUAUUUCAAGAAGCUAGUUACAGAACCAUAUGCACAACAGUAACUAUGACGUGGAAAACACGAUAUUUCCUUUAAUGAAGUACGUUAACCGGUCCUUCAGAGUUGACGUGCUUGCUGGAAUCGAUGUAAGGGACUACGUACAAUAAUAUUAUUAUUCAUGUAAUACUGAAAGUGAAAUCAUGAACCGGUAUGAUAAUAUAAUAAGAAAGAAAGCCAAUAAGUUCCGAAGUAUCAGAGUCUCCCAGCCCUCGUGACGCAAUUGAAAAGAUUUGUGAGUAGUUUUCAUUUAUUUGUAAUUAAUUGACUAUUUGUCCACCCGGCAUUUAGUCGGAAAAGUUAAGGUUUUUAUACAGGAUCGUAUUUGUAUUUUAUAUGAAGAAUUAUGAAGUGUGAUUAAAAAAAAGGUUUGAGUGAUUCAGAUAAUUUUAAUCAAAUAUUAAUUAAUUUAGAAGUUACCCAAAAUUUAGUUACUCUUGUCGAAAGAAGAGAUAAUAUUCCAUCGGUAGGUUUCCUUCUAUUAAUAUAUUGAAUAAGUUAAGAUAUAAGGAAUAAAAUUUCUAUUAAUUCUAGUCA